UUAAGUUCAGCGGGUAAUCCCACCUGAUUCGAGGUCAAACGUUGAAUAAUUAUUGUCCAAGAACAAUUGAUUAGAAGCAAUCCAAAGAUGGGCUCGGGCCAGUCCUGAAACUGUCCUCAACGUUAGAUAAUUAUCACGCUGAGUAGAACCAAACCCCCCAUUAAGGACCAGCUAAUACAUUUAAGACCAGCCGCAUUGAC
rnacentral:misc_RNA from 1 species